AUCUCAUCGGAAACCCCGAUAGCUUUGCUAGUCAGCACGGGUUUAGAUUCGUGGCAUAUAGCUCAGUAACACGUGGCCAAACUACCCUACAGACCGCGAUAACCUCGGGAAACUGAGGCCAAUAGCGGAUAUCACUCUCACGCUGGAGUGCCGAGAGUGAGAAACGUUCCGGCGCUGUAGGAUGUGGCUGCGGCCGAUUAGGUAGAUGGUGGGGUAACGGCCCACCAUGCCGAUAAUCGGUACAGGUUGUGAGAGCAAGAACCUGGAGACGGUAUCUGAGACAAGAUACCGGGCCCUACGGGGCGCAGCAGGCGCGAAACCUUUACACUGCACGACAGUGCGAUAGGGGGACUCCGAGUGUGAGGGCAUAUAGCCCUCGCUUUUCUGUACCGUAAGGUGGUACAGGAACAAGGACUGGGCAAGACCGGUGCCAGCCGCCGCGGUAAUACCGGCAGUCCAAGUGAUGGCCGAUAUUAUUGGGCCUAAAGCGUCCGUAGCUUGCUGUGUAAGUCCAUUGGGAAAUCGACCAGCUCAACUGGUCGGCGUCCGGUGGAAACUGCCCAGCUUGGGGCCGAAAGACUCAACGGGUACGUCCGGGGUAGGAGUGAAAUCCUGUAAUCCUGGACGGACCACCAAUGGGGAAACCACGUCAAGAAACCGGACCCGACAGUGAGGGACGAAAGCCAGGGUCUCGAACCGGAUUAGAUACCCGGGUAGUCCUGGCUGUAAACAAUGCUCGCUAGGUAUGUCGCGGCCAUGAGCACGUGAUGAGCCGUAGUGAAGCCGAUAAGCGAGCCGCCUGGGAAGUACGUCCGCAAGGAUGAAACUUAAGGGUUUUCGGGA
rnacentral:rRNA from 1 species